rnacentral:lncRNA from 1 species
CCGUCCCCCGCCGUCCCCCUCCGUUCCCCUCCGCACGCGGGUCUUCCCGGCCUCGGCCUCGGCCUGGCGGGGGGGCUGUGCGUCCCAGAGGCCUCGACCCCGGAACCGGCCGUCUCACCCCCCAAUUCCGCCCGGUCCCCCGCGCCUCCCUGUGCUCGCCCAAGACCCGAGGGGGCUGCUCCCGCAGCAGCACCGGGGCCAGCGCCCGGCUCCGGGGCGGGGACCCCGGCUCGCCCCCCGCCUCCCCCGCUGCUCCGACGCGGCCCCCCUGGCCGGGUGGCCCGACGGUACGGGUCGGGCGGUGCCGGGGGCGGCCGGUCGCUGACGCCCCGACACCCAGACAGCGCUGCCCGGGCCCCACCUGGGAUCCGCCCGUGGCCGGCGUCCGCUCCCCGGAGCCCGGCCCCCGCGAGGCCCGAGCGGCCGCGUCGCUGGAAGUCGGCGAAGUCUAAGCCGGGAGUUCGGUGCCUCAAGGGCCCACGCAGGGUCACUGAACUCACCCCCAAAUGAUCCUGCAGAUGGCAACAGAGGCCCAGGAAACGUGCCUCAUCCUGGAGGGAGCCCAGAUCUCUGGGGGUGUGAGGAAGGCUGAGCCCUCCCCCCACCAAAGCAAAGCAAGGUGAUUUGAAGAAAUCCAGGCAAGGGAGAGCAUCUUUCGCUUCCAUCCUCCAUCGUUUGUAACUCAGAAAGAAAUUAUUUUGAAUCCUAAAAUUGACAUGAAGAAAGAAAAAAGCAAUUAAAAUAAAAAGGACAUCCAAAGGCAAAAUUAAACUUUACCUCUGGAUGGAAAAGCCACAUGGUCUGUCACAAGUCACAGGAGUAGAAAAGGGCAGAGGGGCGUCCCUGGGUGGCUCAGUGGUUGAGGGUCUGCCUUCAGCUCAGGGCAUGAUCCUGGGGUCCCGGGAUCGAGUCCCACGUCAGGCUCCCCGCAGGGAGCUGCUUCUCCCUCUGCCUGUGUCUCUGCCUCUCUCUGUGUGUCUCUCAUGAAUAAAC